rnacentral:rRNA from 1 species
AACGAACGCUGGCGGCAGGCUUAACACAUGCAAGUCGAGCGCCCCGCAAGGGGAGCGGCAGACGGGUGAGUAACGCGUGGGAAUCUACCCAUCUCUACGGAAUAACGCAUGGAAACGUGUGCUAAUACCGUAUACGUCCUUCGGGAGAAAGAUUUAUCGGAGAUGGAUGAGCCCGCGUUGGAUUAGCUAGUUGGUGGGGUAAAGGCCUACCAAGGCGACGAUCCAUAGCUGGUCGGAGAGGAUGAUCAGCCACACUGGGACUGAGACACGGCCCAGACUCCUACGGGAGGCAGCAGUGGGGAAUAUUGGACAAUGGGCGCAAGCCUGAUCCAGCCAUGCCGCGUGAGUGAUGAAGGCCCUAGGGUUGUAUAGCUCUUUCGCACGCGACGAUGAUGACGGUAGCGUGAGAAGAAGCCCCGGCUAACUUCGUGCCAGCCGCCGCCGUAAGAC